UAGCAGGCCAUUGGAGUGAACUGAACAUUUUCGGCCCCAAGCUUGUUACUCCCAACAUCCUUGGCUCCCUGAAAUCAUCCUGUAGAAGCCAGGCUGCCUGAUGGGGUGGGGUCACCUGACCCAAAGUGCCCCAUCUGGGGACCCGAUACACAGGGCUGACGCCUAGUGAUCAGACUGGUUCUCUCUGGAGUUUGGACCAGGGAUGAUGGAGGUCCCUCAGCAGGAUCUUCGGCAGACCAUUUAACGGUACCUAAAAGCAAAACCGAAAUCCAAAACCAAACCCAAAGAAAAGAUCUACGUUCCCUCCCGGGCCGAUGUUCAUGAUGCUCUGAUUUCUUCAUGUUUAGGAUUUCCGGCUCUUCUACGAUUGCUGUGACCUGCCUAGGUAUGAUAAGCUUGUGGGAAAAUUGCUAUUUUCCCAUCAAGAACAGUGAGUGUCUUCUAGGUGCCAGACAUCGCACUAAGGGACAAAAUGGGACUGGUUCCUGCCCCAAGAGGCACCCGGAGCAGCAGAGGAUCCGAACUAGGGACUGAGAGCGGAGUGUGCCGGCGGGAAAAGGGCAUGGAAACCUGGCAGGAAGCUGGCAGAAGAGGGUCUUCUGGGUCACUUCUGGUGUCAGUGGACGCCUGACUGAGAAGAGUCUUAAAAGACUGGGGAUGUGGCCAGGAGGAAGCGGGCACAACACAGGAGAAGACAGAGAAGCGUGAACUAUCCAGGUGUGUGCCAAGGACUCAGAUGUUAAAUAUGCCUUGGCAUGGAGGGUUAAGAGGGGGAGACGGAAAGGAUGUGCCUAGACAGGCAGGCAGGAGUUUAAUCUUGGAGUGCCAUUCACUCAUUCAUGCAUGCAUUCAUUCAACGAACAUUCUUCUGAGCAUCUAUCAUGUGCCAGUCAGGAGUUGGGCAUAAAGCAGUGAACAGGCAAAAUUCCCUGCCUGCAGAGGGCUUACUUUCUGAUGGUGAAGACAGACAAAAACAAGAUAAAUAAAACUAUAGUAAAUGAGAUGGUGAUAAGUGCUAAGCAGAAAU